AUGCGCCGGCCCUCCCCCACGACCAGACUCCACCAGAUCCCCAAUCCCCUCCCGAUCGACCAGCUAGAUCGACCCCGCCGCCGCCAAAACCUAGCUCGCCGGCCGGCGCGAGGCCGCCUUCCGCGCUCAGGCCACCUCCAGCGUAGCUCCCGCCCCUCGCCCCCACUUCUGCUCCUCCACCCCUCACUACCGCAGCUCCUCCACCCCUCACCACCGCAAGCCGCCACCGCCCCCAACCAUCCACCGCCGCCGCCGCUCCCAACCAACAAACCACCGCUGCCGCAGCUCCUCUACCCCUCACCACCGCAAGCCGCUGCGCCCCCAACCAUCCACCGCGGCCGCCGCUCGCAACCAUCCACCGCCACCGCCCCCAACCGACCAACCACCGCCGCCGCUGCCACCAACCAUCAAUCGCCCUCCACUGGACCACAAGCCGCUGCCAACCACUGUCGUCGUCGCCGCACUCCAGAGCUGAAACCCCGACUCACGCGUUUCCUCCCCGAGCAGGCUUCAUCACCGAGCACCAAGUCACGGGUCCGCCUCCUCCACAUGCCCCUGAAGCAACAGACUGCCGUUGGCCUCCUCUCCAGCGAGCAGGCACCUACUCCACAAGCCCCUGAAGCAGCAGACCUCACGUUGGCCCUCCUCUCCAGCGAGCAGCUCUGCCUGCUGAACAUCGACAUCGCUGCCUCUUGUACUUCAUUUGACUGA
rnacentral:rRNA from 1 species